rnacentral:rRNA from 1 species
CUACGUGCCAGCAGCCGCGGUAAUACGGAAGGUCCGGGCGUUAUCCGGAUUUAUUGGGUUUAAAGGGAGCGUAGGCUGGAGAUUAAGUGUGUUGUGAAAUGUAGACGCUCAACGUCUGACUUGCAGCGCAUACUGGUUUCCUUGAGUACGCACAACGUUGGCGGAAUUCGUCGUGUAGCGGUGAAAUGCUUAGAUAUGACGAAGAACUCCGAUUGCGAAGGCAGCUGACGGGAGCGCAACUGACGCUGAAGCUCGAAGGUGCGGGUAUCGAACAGGAUUAGAUACCCUGGUAGUCCGCACAGUAAACGAUGGAUGCCCGCUGUUGGUACCUGGUAUCAGCGGCUAAGCGAAAGCAUUAAGCAUCCCACCUGGGGAGUACGCCGGCAACGGUGAAACUCAAAGGAAUUGACGGGGGCCCGCACAAACGGAGGAACAUGUGGUUUAAUUCGAUGAUACGCGAGGAACCUUACCCGGGCUUGAAUUGCAGAGGAAGGAUUUAGAGAUAA